GACUGCAUUGUACCAUCACUAGAAUCUAGUGCUUAAUGGCAACUCGCCCUUUCCAAAGGGUCUCAACAAGAAGCAAGACGAUAGACAACAAUUAGCUAAAUCUACAUUAUUGGACAUGAUGGCUAAGUAAAAAACAUCACACCAGAAUCAAGGAUUUUGGUAUCUGCAUGAGUCCUGGAAUCAAUCCCCCAGAGAUACUGAUGGGAUCUUAACAAUGACAGUAAUUGAUGGUGUGUGAAGAAAAAAGGGAAGAUCAGGAGACUUUAACCUGUGGUAUUCCCAUGUUUAGAAGCAAAAUGGGGAACAAAAAGGAAGCGAAUAACAAUCAGAAAAAUAGGAGGAUAACAAUAGUGUAAUAUCAUGGAUGCCAAAGGAGAGUUUCAAAAAGAAGAAGGCAACCAAUAGUGUCAAAUGUUUCAGACAAUUGUAAAAAUUCAAAAAUAAAAAUAUUUAAAACUUUCAAAAUAAAAUAUCAAAAUAUCAAAAUAAAA
rnacentral:lncRNA from 10 species